ACGGACUAAAAUCCGUUGGCUUUUUAGACCAUGAGGGUUCAAGUCCCUCUACUCCCA
rnacentral:tRNA from 1 species